rnacentral:rRNA from 1 species
GAUGAACGCUGGCGGCGUGCUUAACACAUGCAAGUCGAACGAAGCACUUUAUUUGAUUUCCUUCGGGACUGAUUAUUUUGUGACUGAGUGGCGGACGGGUGAGUAACGCGUGGGUAACCUGCCUUGUACAGGGGGAUAACAGUUGGAAACGGCUGCUAAUACCGCAUAAGCGCACGGCAUCGCAUGAUGCAGUGUGAAAAACUCCGGUGGUAUAAGAUGGACCCGCGUUGGAUUAGCUAGUUGGUGAGGUAACGGCCCACCAAGCCGACGAUCCAUAGCCGACCUGAGAGGGUGACCGGCCACAUUGGGACUGAGACACGGCCCAAACUCCUACGGGAGGCAGCAGUGGGGAAUAUUGCACAAUGGGCGAAAGCCUGAUGCAGCGACGCCGCGUGAGCGAAGAAGUAUUUCGGUAUGUAAAGCUCUAUCAGCAGGGAAGAUAAUGACGGUACCUGACUAAGAAGCACCGGCUAAAUACGU